UAACCUGCCCAAGAGAUCGGGAUAACACCUGGAAACAGAUGCUAAUACCGGAUAACAACAGAUGAUGCCUAUCAACUGUUUAAAAGAUGGUUCUGCUAUCACUCUUGGAUGGACCUGCGGUGCAUUAGCUAGUUGGUAGGGUAACGGCCUACCAAGCGAUGAUGCAUAGCCGAGUUGAGAGACUGAUGGCCACAUUGGGACUGAGACACGGCCCAAACUCCUACGGGAGGCAGCAGCC
rnacentral:rRNA from 1 species